AUUUUCGAUUGUAGCGCCACCACACUUACGUAACAAACGCGGACAACCCCCACCACUAGAGUUUAAAAAAAUGUCUGAAACCGGCCUUUUAACCGUUGUUGUCGUCGUUGAUGUUCCCAAAAAUAUGAGUAACAAUUGUUCCAAAAGGAAAAGCAUUUGUUGGAAAAAGAGCAACAAUUAUUACAAAAGGAGCAACAACUGUUGCAAAAAGAGCAAGAGAUAUCUCAAAAUUUAAUAAAUACCGCUCAAAAUAUAAAUAAAAAUCAUCUACCAUCCACAUCAAGAAAUAAUUCAGAAAAUCCCAAAAAUCGGCGUAAUUACUAUAAUUCGAAAAAUCCUGGUAAUCGACAAUUUCAAAAUUUUCCAAAAAUAAAAAAUAAUAAUAACAACAAAAACAACAAUAAUCACAACAAUAACAAUAAUUUUCAUAGAAGACAACACGACCACAAUGGGAGAAAUUGCAGAAACUGCAAUGGGCCUCUACAAAAUUGAUGAUUUGGUCUGCAAGCUUAUGGAGUUCGUCAAAAUUUCUUAUACGACUGUACUUGUGGGAGAAGCUUUCAAAGUCCACAAAUUUAAGUGACGAUAUGAUGAUUACUUAAAAGCACCAAGUUUCUCUAUCUUUUUUUUAUAUUGUUAUAUUAAUAUUAUAAUUCUAUUUCUUGUAUAAUCGAUUUCGAUUAUCGCUAAAAUGUAUGUUUAAAUAAUAUUUAGUAAUUUCUAAUCCUACGUAUAUAGUUUUAUGCAUGUAAUAUUUUAUAAACAUAAACGAAUUACUCUAAAUAAAUCAUUAAUAAAUGUU